UAACAAGGAUUCCCCUAGUAACUGCGAGUGAAGCGGGAAAAGCUCAAAUUUAAAAUCUGGCGGUCUUCGAUCGUCCGAGUUGUAGUCUGGAGAAGCGUCUUCCGCGCUGGACCGUGUACAAGUCUCUUGGAACAGAGCGUCGUAGAGGGUGAGAAUCCCGUCUUUGACACGGACUACCAGUGCUUUGUGAUGCGCUCUCAAAGAGUCGAGUUGUUUGGGAAUGCAGCUCAAAAUGGGUGGUAAAUUCCAUCUAAAGCUAAAUAUUGGCGAGAGACCGAUAGCGAACAAGUACCGUGAGGGAAAGAUGAAAAGCACUUUGGAAAGAGAGUUAAACAGUACGUGAAAUUGCUGAAAGGGAAACGAUUGAAGUCAGUCGCGUCGUCUAGAACUCAACCUUGCCUCGGCUCGGUGCAUUUUCUAGUUGACGGGCCAGCAUCAGUUUUGACCGUUGGAAAAAGGUCCUUGGAAUGUGGCACCUUCGGGUGUGUUAUAGCCUCGGGUCGUAUACGACGGUUGGGACUGAGGACCGCAGCACGCCUUUAUGGCCGGGGUUCGCCCACGUACGUGCUUAGGAUGCUGGCGUAAUGGCUUUAAACGACCCGUCUUGAAACACGGACCAAGGAGUCUAACAUGCCUGCGAGUGUUUGGGUGGUAAACCCGAGCGCGUAACGAAAGUGAAAGUUGGGAUCCCUGUCGUGGGGAGCACCGACGCCCACACCAGACCUUCUGUGACGGAUGUGCGGUUGAGCAUGUAUGUUGGGACCCGAAAGAUGGUGAACUAUGCCUGAAUAGGGUGAAGCCAGAGGAAACUCUGGUGGAGGCUCGUAGCGAUUCUGACGUGCAAAUCGAUCGUCAAAUUUGGGUAUAGGGCGAAAAGACUAAUCGAACCAUCUAGAACUGG
rnacentral:rRNA from 1 species